AUCCCAAUGACAUCUCCUUAAUCGGAGAGUUCCCUUCGGGGACAUUGGUGACAGGUGGUGCAUGGUUGUCGUCAGCUCGUGUCGUGAGAUGUUGGGUUAAGUCCCGCAACGAGCGCAACCCUUGUCUUUAGUUGCCAUCAUUAAGUUGGGCACUCUAGAGAGACUGCCAGGGAUAACCUGGAGGAAGGUGGGGAUGACGUCAAAUCAUCAUGCCCCUUAUGCUUAGGGCUACACCCGUGCUACAAUGGGUAGUACAGAGGGUUGCCAAGCCGUAAGGUGGAGCUAAUCCCUUAAAGCUACUCUCAGUUCGGAUUGUAGGCUGAAACUCGCCUACAUGAAGCUGGAGUUACUAGUAAUCGCAGAUCAGAAUGCUGCGGUGAAUGCGUUCCCGGGUCUUGUACACACCGCCCGUCACACCACGGGAGUUGGAGACGCCCGAAGCCGA
rnacentral:rRNA from 1 species